UGGGGGUCUUUCAAAAAAAAUUGACUCACCUAUACCAUUUCUAAACUCUCACACAAGAUACACUGGCAUCUUUUAUGCCUUACCUUCUCUCUCGAUCUUAUUCACAAACAAAACCCAAACCAAAUCUCACUCAUCUCUCAAAUUAUACACACACUUCCACAGGCCAAACACCCUCUCGGUCACCCCUCCCACUCGACAGAAGGCCGGCGGCCAAAGGCCGGUGGAGCCGUUUGCAACAACAGUGGUAAUUGGCGGUGUAUGGACGGUGGAGCGGAGGUGCGAUUACGGCGGUGGCGUGCUGUUUUUGCGACAGAAGACGGCGGCGGUGGUGGUGGAUUGUUGGUGGUUCGAGUGUUGUUGUGGGCCGAAAGGAAAUCGAAGAUGUUGAUGAUCUGAUUUUGUGGUGGUUGGGUUUUACGGCGACAGAUGUGGUGAUUCGUGACUUUCCGACGAGGUGAACGACGGCAAUUCAAGUAUUCAAACGAGGGUUCUUGGUUGCGGUAGUUUUUGGAAUUGGGGAUUUUGGCUCCAUACGCGGCUUCCCUCUUCGUUGCUACUGGAGCAUCAUCAGGCGACAGGUGUGGUUCUGACUGAGGUAUUGAAAAUUUGAAAUGUUUGUUACAUGUGUUUCUUAGUGUGUUAGGUUUUAAUAUGUGUUGAUUGAUGAUGAGGUUUUGAGCUUUAUGUUGAUGGAAUGUUAAAUUUGUAGUUGUAAGUAUGUGAAUUUUAGAGAAUAGAUGGAUAGCCAUACAAACUAGGCAUGGAUUUAAGAUAUGUGGUUCUUAUUCAGUAUAAUCUCAACUAUGGAUGGUGUGGUUAGCAUCUAAGAUGUGACUUUCAAAGGUUACGGUUUCGAGGUUGGUAGUUGGUGGUUGAGAUCAUACUCACAGGAAACGUAGAUCCCCCCUCGAAUCCCGAAUCGGUUCAGCUGUACUAGAAUUGGGUACAGAAUCGAAUCGUUCGGCCUGGGUUUGCCGUAAGUCAACUCAAGACUGCUUGUCGUAUGUCCACGUGUGGUGAAAUACAGUUAGAAGGAUGUUAUGUGAAGUACAAUAAUACAUCAUUUUUUGGGGCCCCAGAUAAGAUGGAGGUGUGCAGGAGAUGUGGUCCUUCAGUUGUCUAUAAUUCGGAUGUUUUGAACCGUAUAGACAGUGCAUUGGCAUUUCUGGUAGGCGGGAAUGGAGAAUACUUUCGCGAGGGUGAUUUUGGUAGCAUACAAGGUGUGGCACAGUGCAUACAAGAUCUGAGUUUAAGUGAUUGUCAAGAUUGUCUUUCAGAGGCAACUAGACGGUUGAGAUCAGUGUGUGAGACAUCAAGCUGGGGUGAUAUGUACCUUGGAAAAUGUUAUAUCCGAUAUGCUGAUCAAGGUAUAUAUAUGUCUGUUUUUGAUGACGAUGGGUAAUAUUUAUCAUAUUUAUAUAGCAUAAAGUCUACAUGAGUUAGUGCAGGUACUGUAAAUCUUGCUAAUAUCGGUGACUCUACUUCCAAUGAAAGUAGUGGCGGAGGGAUAAGCGUGUUGGACAUAAUCAACACUAUUUCCAGUUUUAGCUCCAUAUUGGGCACGCUCAGUGUGACUUUUGUUUGCAAUAAAAAAGGUGCAUUACAAGAAUAAUUAGUAUAGCCAUUCAAAGCAAGCCAGGUUCACAGAAGCAUUUGGAAAGUUCUAUGGUAGCUCGAAACAACGAACUGACAAUGAUAAAGGUCGUCCGGGUGUUCAUGACAACCGAGUGAAGUGCAUAAUUUUUCCAUUGUUACCUUCUUAUUUCAUUUUUUUAAUCUUCAUUUUACCUUAGCUGCGGGUGAGAAUCCGGACUGGUAGUACACAGAGUUUCUACCUAUCCCCGAAAGGUCACAAGAACUUAACUUCCAAACCUGGAAAAAGAUAAAAAACGGGAACACAACAUUGACUACCAGAUGUGGUAAUAUGACAAGUUUUUUAUGAAUGGGUCAAUUUGGUUAUGUAGAUUAGAUAUUUAUAUUAUAAGGAAUGUAAUCAGACGAGUCGAGUAACAAUUAAUGUUUGAUUUAACUUUACAACUCA